rnacentral:rRNA from 1 species
AAACUUAAAGGAAUUGACGGGGACCCGCACAAGCGGUGGAUGAUGUGGUUUAAUUCGAUGCAACGCGAAAAAACCUUAACCCACCUUUGUACAUGUAUGGAAGAUCGCAGAGACGCGAUUGUGCUCGAAAGAGAGCCAUAACACAGGUGCUGCAUGGCUGUCGUCAGCUCGUGUCGUGAGAUGUUGGGUUAAGUCCCGCAACGAGCGCAACCCUU